AGGAGCUACAAGGGAAAAGUUAAGAAGUCCGUUCAAUCGGGAGCUGGUGCCGAUGAGAUAUAUCAGCCCAUUUGGUUCGCUUAUGAAGCAAUGGAUGCUUUUUUGGGAGAUACUCUAAAGUGUAAAAAAAGUAUGAAUACGGAACGUGGAAUAAAGGAGCCUAAAGAAGUAAAUCUCGAAGCUAUUAAAGAGAAUGUUGAAGAAAUGAAUGAAAAUCGAAGUCAGUCUAUUAACACCCAAAAAGACAGUGACCAGACAAUCCACCGACGCAAAAUCUCUUCAGAAGUGGUUGACGCAGGAAAUGUCGUUAAAGACGCUCUUAUCACCUUCAAAUCCACGCUAAAAAGGAACCCAUUACAGCCUAUUCAGCAAGACGAUGAUUGCGAUUUAUACGGAAAACUAUUAGCAAAUAAGUUGCGAAAAUUAUCUGAAAAGAAUAGAUUGAAGUUGAUGCACGACAUUGAUGGGAUGUAUUUACAAUACCAAUUUGAUGACCCUUUAGUGAUGACUCCAUCGCCACCUCAUUUUUAUGAACCAAGAACAGGCACAUCAUCAUCUACGCAUUCAGAGCCUCCAUUUCAUUACGGGCAGGCGAAUCAAAAUACUUAUUACCAAAAUAGACAAGUAAUAUCAGCCCCACCUUCUAAUAUCAUUAUUCAAUCGAACCGGCUAAUUCGUACACCAGAUUAUCCUGUCCUUCAUUUACCAGAGAACCAAGAUGCAAACACAUCUGAUCAUAAUAAUGAUAUAGUUCAGACAGCUUUUGACUUAAGUUAAAUACCUACUGAAAUUACCGAAUUUUGUUUUUAUUGUCUAUUGAAUUUUGUUAUUAUAUUUGGUUGAUUUUGCAAAGUUAUAUUCUAGAUUCUAAGUAGUUCUGUAUAUGCAUAAUAAAAGUAUUAAAUUGA